AGUGAACGCUGGCGGUAGGCCUAACACAUGCAAGUCGAACGGCAGCACAGUAAGAGCUUGCUCUUACGGGUGGCGAGUGGCGGACGGGUGAGGAAUACAUCGGAAUCUACUUUUUCGUGGGGGAUAACGUAGGGAAACUUACGCUAAUACCGCAUACGACCUACGGGUGAAAGCAGGGGAUCUUCGGACCUUGCGCGAUUGAAUGAGCCGAUGUCGGAUUAGCUAGUUGGCGGGGUAAAGGCCCACCAAGGCGACGAUCCGUAGCUGGUCUGAGAGGAUGGUCGACCCAAACGGAACUGAGACACGGGCCAAGCUCCUACGGGGGGCAGCAGUAGGGAAAUUUCCGCAAUGGGCGAAAGCCUGACGGAGCAACUCCGCGGGGGUGAAAAAGGGCUUCGGGUUUUAAAACCCUUUUUUUUGGGAAAAAAAAAUGUGAGAGUAACUCCCCACGUUUUUGCGGGACCCAAACAGAAAACCACGGGUAACUUCGUG
rnacentral:rRNA from 1 species